rnacentral:pre_miRNA from 1 species
UGUUACGGAUGAGCAAAGGAAGUGGUUUCUUGAGAUGGAAUCUACUCCCAGUGAAGGUGCUGUGAA